UAAUCUACAUAAGGUAAAUCCUCAUCUAGUUGUGGAAGACUCACACCUUACCAUUCAUAAUCACUCGUUAUCACAAGCUCAACUACAUCAUUGACACUUAUAAAAUACGUUUGGAAGAAAAAAUUCAUAAAAUUAUGUUUUUUU
rfam:Populus trichocarpa isolate Nisqually-1 chromosome 19, whole genome shotgun sequence.